rnacentral:rRNA from 1 species
AUUGAACGCUGGAGGCAGGCCUAACACAUGCAAGUCGAGCGGAGCGGCGGACGGGUGAGUAAUGCCUAGGAAUCUGCCUGGUAGUGGGGGAUAACGUCCGGAAACGGGCGCUAAUACCGCAUACUAUCAGAUGAGCCUAGGUCGGAUUAGCUAGUUGGUGGGGUAAAGGCCUACCAAGGCGACGAUCCGUAACUGGUCUGAGAGGAUGAUCAGUCACACUGUAACUGAGACACGGUCCAGACUCCUACGGGCGGCAGCAUGGGGGAAUAUUGGACAAUGGGCGAAAGCCUGGUCCAGCCAUGCCGCGUGUUGGAAGCAGGUCUGCGGAUUGUAAAGCACUUUAAGUUGGGUGGCGUUACCAGCAGAAUUAGCACCGGCUAACUUCGUGCAAGCAGCCGCGGUAAUAC